UUAGUGUUCUGGGAUGGAAUGGAGUUCAGGGUACUUUUUUUCUCUCUCAGGCUUGAAUUUGCAACUGGCGAUGCCUAAUGACCAAGGAAGGAGUUUUCAAAAACAGAGCCCAGAGAUGGAUGAGGGCCCAGGCAGGCUGGACAGUCACCGCUGCUAGCGGGAGGGUCCUUAGGUCAGGAGCAGGAUGUGCUUGCAAGCUUCCUGGCAGCUGGCCUCCAGCUGAGGAAACUGCAGUAGUGAAGGACAGGCAGGGACCUGAGCAAAUCUGAGUAAUCACCCCUUUGGGAGAAAAACUGCAUAAAUAAUUACUUGAAAUUCUCUCCUAAAGUAGAGUCAGAAGAAAACGAAUGUUGCCUAGAUGGGAGCCAACACCCAGCAAUAACUUCAGCUAAUAGAGGAUGUGAUGGCUCAGAAGAUAAACAAAAUAAAGUGUAGGAGAAGCACAAGGAAAACAAACGAGAGAAAUAGGGAGGGAAUAAAACACAGGAGGAGCUGGGAGGAAGCAGCUGCUUGGGGACAAGCCAGGGAGAAAUGUGAAAAGAAAAAAGAAAGAGCUUACCAGGCUGGUGGGGGAUGUUGAUAAUGGGGGAGGCUGUGCAUGUGUUGGGGCAGGGGCUAUAUGGGAAAUCUCUGUACCUUCCUCUCAAUUUUGCUGUGGACCUAAAACUGCUCUCAAAAAAUUGAAGUCUAAAAGAAAAGAGCCUAGAAAAAGCCAAUCAAACAGGGAACAUCCCUCUCGGGAUUUUGGCUCAAGGAAAAAAGAGAAACAGCCACGCAGAACAGAGGAGGGCCCCAAACCCGAGAGGACAGGCUACCGGAGGAGGUCUUCAACAGCUGAGAAAACUGAACAGGGAGCAGCUAGCAGUUUGGGCCAGUGCCACAGCAAGGCAGCAAGAAAGCUGGAAUCCAACGGAAACGUCUCACACUCGACGGUGGACUUUCUGUGCCGGGAAACGUGAAAUAAGAAGGAAAAAUUAUAAAUUAGGGUUGUGGAAGUAUUUUAAUCAACUUUAUAUAUUUACCAAUUAAAAGCUAGUAUUUCAUAAGUAAUACCAUUUAAGAGUAGUACUAAGAAAGAAUAAUAUGGUUUUUGUUUUAGUCAUUUGCUUCUUGAUCUCUCAUAAUUAAAAUUUGCCAUAAAAACUCAAAUUUUCAUCUUUUUAG
rnacentral:lncRNA from 1 species